rfam:Streptococcus intermedius B196, complete genome.
AACAGAGUAAGUGGUCUGCGUUAAGUGUGUAUGGAUGGGAUGUUGCCAUACAACGAAACAUUUGUGCGGUAGACCAUUGCAUCCGCUGUC